UGUGAAUACCAUCAUGACCUACCAAGGGACAUUGUGACCCCAAGCAUACCAUCCGAAAUUACAAAUGAAUAAAAAUAUUCAUAAUGCAAUUGAAUUUAAGAAACCAACACCUCAAUCUUAUUUUUCCAGCAUCCUCAUAUUACUUAUGAAUAAAGAAUUCAAAAUUCAUAUUGAAAUUUCAUAUAGAACCACAUCCAAAAAAUUAGGAUCUCAUUCAAAUUUAGAAAUUAUAGGCAACUUGAAUUCAUCUUCUUCCAAGCACUAUACAAUUUUCGCUGACCAAUUCAAACUCUUGGGUUUGUAAAGCCAAUUAAAA
rnacentral:lncRNA from 1 species